CCUUCGGGGUGAGUGGCAGACGGGUGAGUAACGCGUGGGAAUCUACCCAUCCCUACGGGAUAGCUCCGGGAAACUGGAGAUAAUACCGUAUACGUCCUCCGGGAGAAAGAUUUAUCGGGGAUGGAUGAGCCCGCGUUGGAUUAGCUAGUUGGUGGGGUAAUGGCCUACCAAGGCGACGAUCCAUAGCUGGUCUAAGAGGAUGAUCAGCCACAUUGGGACUGAGACACGGCCCAAACUCCUACGGGAGGCAGCAGUGGGGAAUAUUGGACAAUGGGCGCAAGCCUGAUCCAGCCAUGCCGCGUGAGUGAUGAAGGCCCUAGGGUUGUAAAGCUCUUUCAGUGGGGACGAUAAUGACGGUACCCACAGAAGAAGCCCCGGCUAACUUCGUGCCAGCAGCCGCGGUAAUACGAAGGGGGCUAGCGUUGUUCGGAAUUACUGGGCGUAAAGCGCACGUAGGCGGACAUUUAAGUCAGGGGUGAAAUCCCGGGGCUCAACCCCGGAACUGCCUCUGAUACUGGGUGUCUUGAGUGUGGUAGAGGUGAGUGGAAUUGCGAGUGUAGAGGUGAAAUUCGUAGAUAUUCGCAGGAACACCAGUGGCGA
rnacentral:rRNA from 1 species